GCCUCUCAGCCCGCCCUGAGGCGGCGAGGACGCGCCUCAGCCCGCCCUGAGGCGGCGGUGGCUGGUCGCCGUGUCGCGACAUGGGGGACGAUUUGGCGUCGGAAGGCGACAGCCUGCUUCAGUCAGAGAAGGAGUUUCAUGAUGCAGCGAAGCGAAAUGAUAUGGCCAGGAUGGAGGAACUCAUCAGGAGAGGAGUUGACAUCAAAGCCAAAAAUAAUAUGGACCGGAGUGCCCUGCACUGGGCUGCAGGAGCAGGGAGCGUGGAUGCUGUGCGGCUGCUCCUGGAUCACGAUGUCCCUGUGGAAGAUGAGGACAGUUUUGGAAUGAAUGCCCUUCUCCUGUCUGCCUGGUUUGGCCACCUCCGUGUCCUGCAGAUCCUUGUCAAUGCUGGGGCCAAGAUUAACCGUGUCAAUAGGAAUGGUAGGAACCUGCUUCACUGUGCAGCUCAGAGGGGACACAUCCAGAUCAUGGAGUUCAUCACGGAGGACUUGGAGGAUGUGUGUGUGGAUGAGACAGACAAGAUGGACAGGACAGCGUUUCACCUGGCCGCAGAGUACGGGCAGCUGGAGGUGGUGGAGUUCCUCAUUCGACUGGGUUGUUCCCACAGUGCCAAAGACAAGGAAGAAAACACAGCAUUGCAUUUGGCUGCUAAAAAUGGACACCUCUCUGUGCUGGAGAAGAUUAUAGAUGUUGGAGUGGACCUUGAUGAAAAAAACUCAGAAGGGCUCACGGCUCUGCACCUGGCUGCUGAGGGGGGACACAGCCACUGUGUGAAGCUGCUCGUGGAAGCAGGAGCUGAUGUCAAUGCCCAAACUCAGAAAAAGAUGAACUGCCUUCAUUAUGCAGCCCUGCAUGGCUAUGAGGAGAUAGCCAGGAUCCUCAUGGAUGCAGGAAUCCACACGGACGCUCUCAAUCACCAAAAUGCAUCAGCGAUGCACAUCGCAGUCCUGCGGAACUUCCCAGCCAUGGUGAAACUCUUCAUCAGUGCAGAGUGUGACCUUGACAUUCCAGAUAAUAGGCAGCAGACCUCACUCCACAUUGCUGCAGAGCACGGCAGGCAGGACAUUGCUGAGAUGAUUCUCAUUGCAGGAGUUAAUCUGAAGCUAGCAGACAAGCAAGGGAAAACAUCUCUGGAUGUUGCUGCCCGAGGCAAUCACAUCAUCUUGGUGGACAUGAUUAUCAAAGCAGAUCGAUUUUACAAAUGGGAGAAGGACAACCUGAACAGCGACUCUGGCUCGUGGGUGGCAAAGCAUUUGACCUUUAAGCAGGAUCACAGGCUGGAAACACAGCACAUUCGCUCAGUCAUGUGGAGAUUAGCCACUAAGUACCUCAAACCUGGGGAAUGGAAGAAGCUGGCACAUUACUGGAAAUUCACGGAUGACCAUAUUAGGGCCAUUGAGCAACAAUGGACAGGCACUAAGAGCUACAGGGAACACGGCCACAGAAUGCUGCUGAUCUGGCUCCAUGGUGUGAUCACUGCAGGAGAAAAUCCAAUCAAGGGACUGUAUGAAGGCCUGUUGGGGAUUGGGAGAAGAGAUUUAGCAGACAACACAACCAGAGGAAAGCUUCAGUGAAGCCAACUCCCAUGAGCUGAAAGCACCUGCUCUGCCCCCUUGCUUCCAUUACAUAAAGUAUCCGGAACAAAGCAAACGCAGACUCCACCUCUCCACGAAAAUGCACAGCAAUGUAACACCAGGAGCAUCCUCAGCUGCUCUCAGAUCUACAGGAAAAACACUUCUCUGCUGCUGAGAGAAGGCAGAUGCAACCUAAGGGCUUCUUGUCACAAACUACCGGCACUGCUGCAGCCCUCUGGCCAGGAAAUGACAAGGGUAAAACAAAUGCUCAUGGUCAAAAAGGCCUCUACACAGAAGGGAGAUUUUUAUCAGCAAUUUCAAAAGGUCUGGGUACUGUCAUGAGUUUGGUGAGUGAGCCUUACUCGUCAUACUGCAGCAGGAAAUAUUACAGUUUUACUGUAACUUGUCUACAGCACAUUUUUAUAUAUAAAUUUCCAAUUGUCAAGCUCUUAAUUUAAUGAGGGCAAAGGCUUUGUUUUCAAGAAUGUUCUUUACUUACCUUAUUUGUGGGAGGUAUCUCACAUCUUGGGCAUGUCCAUACAUUCCCACCAUAAGAGAACUUCAGCAAAAUCAAAGCUACUCUUUGGUCUUUUUGGAACCUGAGGGGUUGGGAUCUUGAAUGCUUUGACUCUUCACAAAAAGCUGGAGAAGAAUAUUAACAUAUGCUGUUUAUAAAUGUACAUUAACAUGUACUGUUUAUAAAUCAUUAGGUGACUAACCUUUUCAAAACAUCUUUGCAUUUGUCAUGUAAUCCUUCAUAUUUAUUUUUUACAGCAUCCCAAGGGGAAAAUAAUGUCUGUAAUUCAAUAAAUCUAGAUUUUACCCUUUAAAA